rfam:Metschnikowia bicuspidata var. bicuspidata NRRL YB-4993 METBIscaffold_3, whole genome shotgun sequence.
ACUUAGGUAGUUCAAUGGUUAGAGCAAACGCCUCAUAUGCAUUAAAUAUAGGUCCAAUCCUAUGUUAGGUA